rnacentral:rRNA from 1 species
UACGGAAGGGGCAAGCGUUGUUCGGAAUCAUUGGGCGUAAAGGGCGCGUAGGUGGUUCUGUAUGUCUAUCGUGAAAGCAUACAGCUCAACUGUAUUUUGUCGGUAGAAACUGCAGGACUUGAGACCGGGAGAGGUGAGUGGAAUUCCCAGUGUAGCGGUGAAAUGCGUAGAUAUUGGGAGGAACACCAGUGGCGAAGGCGGCUCACUGGACCGGAACUGACGCUGAGGCGCGGAAGCGUGGGGAGCAAACAGG